rnacentral:rRNA from 1 species
UACAGAGGUGGCAAGCGUUGUUCGGAAUUACUGGGCGUAAAGGGCGCGUAGGCGGCCAUCUAAGUCAGACGUGAAAUCCCCCGGCUUAACCUGGGAAUGGCAUUUGGGACUGCAAGGCUGGAGUGUGGCAGAGGAGACUGGAAUUCCUGGUGUAGCAGUGAAAUGCGUAGAUAUCAGGAGGAAUACCGAUGGCGAAGGCAGGUCUCUGGGCUGACACUGACGCUCAUGCACGAAAGCGUGGGGAGCAAACAGG